AGUUUUCAAACGAGUGCGGAGAAUCUUAAAGGCUGCACUUUGCUGCGGUAGGAGCAUCAGCAGGCCAUACAAAGCUUUUAACAACCAUAUGUAUCUUCCAGGUUCAAGAAGCUGCAGCCUAAGGUAAGCAAAGGUCGGAGUUUCCAGAAGAUGGAUCAACUUAUCCAGUUGGACUAAGAACUUCACAUUGAUGUCUUCCUCAACCAACAGAUGGAUAACAGAACUUGCAUGUUGAUAAGCCUGAGCUAAUAGGCAGAGG
rnacentral:misc_RNA from 1 species